UACGUAGGGUGCGAGCGUUAAUCGGAAUUACUGGGCGUAAAGCGUGCGCAGGCGGUUUUGUAAGCCAGAUGUGAAAUCCCCGGGCUUAACCUGGGAAUGGCGUUUGGGACUGCAAGGCUCGAGUGCGGCAGAGGAGACUGGAAUUCCUGGUGUAGCAGUGAAAUGCGUAGAUAUCAAGAGGAACGCCGGUGGCGAAAGCGAUUCUCUGGAUCGUUCCUGACACUGAGGCGCGAAAGCUAGGGGAGCAAACAGG
rnacentral:rRNA from 1 species